AUUGAACGCUGGCGGCAUGCCUAACACAUGCAAGUCGAGCGGAUGAAGGGAGCUUGCUCCUGGAUUCAGCGGCGGACGGGUGAGUAAUGCCUAGGAAUCUGCCUGGUAGUGGGGGAUAACGUCCGGAAACGGGCGCUAAUACCGCAUACGUCCAGAUGGAGAAAGUGGGGGAUCUUCGGACCUCACGCUAUCUGAUGAGCCUAGGUCGGAUUAGCUAGUUGGUUGGGUAAAGGCCUACCAAGGCGACGAUCCGUAACUGGUCUGAGAGGAUGAUCAGUCACACUGGAACUGAGACACGGUCCAGACUCCUACGGGAGGCAGCAGUGGGGAAUAUUGGGCAAUGGGCGAAAGCCUGAUCCAGCAAUGCCGCGUGUGUGAAGAAGGUCUUCGGAUUGUAAAGCACUUUAAGUUGGGAGGAAGGGCAGUAAGUUAAUACCUUGCUGUUUUGACGUUACCAAAAGAAUAAGCACCGGCUAACUUCGUG
rnacentral:rRNA from 1 species